rnacentral:rRNA from 1 species
GACGAACGCUGGCGGCGUGCUUAACACAUGCAAGUCGAACGGAAAGGCCCUGCUUUUGUGGGGUGCUCGAGUGGCGAACGGGUGAGUAACACGUGAGUAACCUGCCCUUGACUUUGGGAUAACUUCAGGAAACUGGGGAUCAUACCGGAUAGGAGCUCCUGCUGCAUGGUGGGGGUUGGAAAGUUUCGGCGGUUGGGGCUGGACUCGCGGCUUAUCAGCUUGUUGGGGGGGUAGUGGCUUACAAAGGCUUUGACGGGUAGCCGGCCUGAGAGGGUGACCGGCCACAAUGGGACUGAGAGACGGCCCAGACUGCUACGGGAGGCAGCAGGCGGGAAUAUUGCACAAUGGGCGGAAGCCUGAUGCAGCAACGCCGCGUUCGGGAUGACGGCCUUCGGGUUGUAAACCGCUUUCGCCUGUGCCGAAGCGUGAGUGACGGUAAUGGGUAAAGAAGCACCGGCUAACUACGUG